rnacentral:rRNA from 1 species
AUUGAACGCUGGCGGCAUGCUUUACACAUGCAAGUCGAACGGUAACAGGCCGCAAGGUGCUGACGAGUGGCGAACGGGUGAGUAAUGCAUCGGAACGUGCCCAGUCGUGGGGGGUAACGCAGCGAAAGCUGCGCUAAUACCGCAUACGAUCUAUGGAUGAAAGCGGGGGACCGUAAGGCCUCGCGCGAUUGGAGCGGCCGAUGUCAGAUUGGGUAGUUGGUGGGGUAAAGGCUCACCAAGCCAACGAUCUGUACCUGGUCUGAGAGGCCGACCGGCCACACUGGGACUGAGACACGGCUCAGACUCCUACGGGAGGCAGCAGUGGGGAAUUUUGGACAAUGGGCGCAAGCCUGAUCCAGCAAUGCCGCGUGCAGGAAGAAGGCCUUCGGGUUGUAAACUGCUUUUGUACGGAACGAAACGGUCCUGGUUAAUACCCGGGGCUAAUGACGAUACCGUAAGAAUAAGCACCGGCUAACUACGUGCCAGCCGCCGCGGUAAUAC